rnacentral:lncRNA from 1 species
ACAGAAAUUAUGAAAAGUGUCGAAUGAUUUUAAGGAAAGAGUCGUAUUUGAAACUGCAAGACUCUUUAGUGGAGGUCAAGCAAGUCAAUAUAGGUAGAAUACUCUGGAAAAUUAUGCGAGUGAGGGGAUGUCAAACAAUGGGUCAGGAAAUACGUUGGUUUUCUGCAAAACAAAAGCUGAUUGCCAUUACAUAAGUCACUUUAGCAUCAUGAGACUGCUGCUUGAUAAAUUCAGAAAUAAACCAAAAAACAAGACCCGCAAAAAUAAAAAACAAUUUAAUGAUGCUCUCUCCACACUGGGAUAAAUAAAAACAAACACAUCACAUCUAAUGUGGACAUAUCCGAUGCUUUGUAAAACACUAAAGGAAAAAUUCAGUUUCGAGCUAUGGCACUUGCCACAUAGAUGUGGGGGGCCUUGCACUAAUAGUGAUAGUUACCACUGCAUUUAGAAAUUGAAAGCAUUCAUGCAGACAAGGAUGAUUCUUUAUAUAUUUGGCUACCACUUCAAAUGCCUCCACCAAGUGUUACAAUGCUACACGCAGCCAUACUAAGGAUGUGGCAGCAACACCUGCAGUUAAAAAGCAGAAGCAGUCAAAGUGCUGGUGUAUUCUGGACACUAGCUUUGAAAACUUUUGGGCAAGGACAGUGCAAGAAGCAGACAUAACAACUGCAUUUAUUUCCAUAAUUCCCCAUUUGAAUGGGCUUUUCUUUUUGCUUAGACAAUGCUUACGCCUAGCCACAGCAGCUCCCUCAUACAGACUCCGCAAGCCAAGGGGCCGUGGAGGCAAAUGCAGACAGCCAGCACACCUCGAACAGCCACCUUGACUGCGGAUGUCACCCUAGUCGCCAAGGAAACAUUUGAGGGAAAGCGACAGGCAAUGUGAACAGCCACUUCUCCAUGUAAACGAUACUCUUUCUCUCGGAUGACUCCUACGCCUCGCCACGCCAGCACACUUGUGCACAAAGAUGCCGCGAAGGCACGUGCAGGUCAUAGGCAAGAAGCAGUGGCACUGGUGUCGACAUUCACCCAAUUUCUUUUUCUUACACUGAGGCAGCCAGCACACCUCGAACAGCCACCUUGACUGCGGGUGUGUCAGUAGAUUCCUGUUGUACAUAUGCUCAUAAUAAACUUCAGUAAACUUGAACUUGAUAAUAAACUUGAUGGCAAAUGG